rnacentral:rRNA from 1 species
UGCGACCCCAGGUCAGGCGGGGCUACCCGCUGAGUUUAAGCAUAUCAAUAAGCGGAGGAAA